rnacentral:rRNA from 1 species
UACGAAGGGGGCUAGCGUUGCUCGGAAUCACUGGGCGUAAAGGGUGCGUAGGCGGGUCUUUAAGUCAGGGGUGAAAUCCUGGAGCUCAACUCCAGAACUGCCUUUGAUACUGAAGAUCUUGAGUCCGGGAGAGGUGAGUGGAACUGCGAGUGUAGAGGUGAAAUUCGUAGAUAUUCGCAAGAACACCAGUGGCGAAGGCGGCUCACUGGCCCGAUACUGACGCUGAGGCACGAAAGCGUGGGGAGCGAACAGG